rnacentral:rRNA from 1 species
GAUGAACGCUGGCGGCGUGCCUAAUACAUGCAAGUCGAGCGAACGGACGAGAAGCUUGCUUCUCUGAUGUUAGCGGCGGACGGGUGAGUAACACGUGGAAAACCUACCUAUAAGACUGGGAUAACUUCGGGAAACCGUAGCUAAUACCGGAUAAUAUUUUGAACCGCAUGGUUCAAAAGUGAAAGACGGUCUUGCUGUCACUUAUAGAUGGAUCCGCGCUGCAUUAGCUAGUUGGUAAGGUAACGGCUUACCAAGGCAACGAUGCAUAGCCGACCUGAGAGGGUGAUCGGCCACACUGGAACUGAGACACGGUCCCGACUCCUACGGGAGGCAGCAGUAGGGAAUCUUCCGCAAUGGGCGAAAGCCUGACGGAGCAACGCCGCGUGAGUGAUGAAGGUCUUCGGAUCGUAAAACUCUGUUAUUAGGGAAGAACAUAUGUGUAAGUAACUGUGCACAUCUUGACAGUACCUAAUCAGAAAGCCACGGCUAACUACGUG